rnacentral:pre_miRNA from 1 species
GGAAGUUAAUAAAUUUUUUCUUAACUUUUAAUUAAAAGAACUAAGAACCGGUUCUUAAAGUAUUUAAGAACCGGUUCUUAGCUUUUUUAGUUAAAGUUAAGAAACAGUUUCUUAACUUCC